AGUUGUAGCUGGCUUCUCGGAGC
rnacentral:rRNA from 1 species